rnacentral:rRNA from 2 species
AUUAAAUUGAAGAGUUUGAUCAUGGCUCAGAUUGAACGCUGGCGGCAGGCAUAACACAUGCAAGACG